CCUGCGGGGGAACCCUGGCUGGCUUCUGCAGCCGCGGGUCUGCAGCCCCUGCACACAUUUGCAACAGUGUUUCCGCUGUCUGCAGGCUGCAGAGACCUGAGCAUGCCCAACGUGAAAGCGCAAUUAAGGAAAAUGCAGGCAGAGCGUGGACGCUGAAACUUGGCUAAGCUAUUGAGAAGGCUACAAUAUGUGGAAGUGUUUAUCAGAUAUCUGCGCUGAGAGCAUAACUUCCUGUCAGCCUAAAUAGUGGCAAUUUUUUUGUUGCUGUUAAGGCCAAAGAAUAAUCAGAGGGAGGGGAUUUGGAGCUGACACGGGUUGAGUGUUGCACUUUGCAGGACUGGUUAACUGUGCGGAUUAUUCGUUAAUUGAAAGAAUGAACACAAGUUAGAAACAGUCAUCUUCACCUCUGUUAUUAUGCUGUAUAGUUUAAGGAAGAUGCUCUGAUGGUGAAGAAGAAAUCUUGGACUAGUCCUCACUCAGUGAAACCAUUUUCCAUGCACUGGGAAUGUGAUGUUGUAGAGAAGGGCUGUUUGUGAAGAUUUCCCCUGGAAAUAGUUCCUAAGACAAGGAUUCAAGUGCAAGUACUUUAUCUGAGAGGGGCUCCCAUGAAACACAAGCAGGAGAGAAGGGAAGUGGUGCAGGAAAGGGGAGGCAACCAAGAAGAAAUGCGUUAUGAAUCAUCCAUCUACCAAAGCAGCCAGAGCCAGCCUCAAAGAAUGGGAGUGGCAGCCCUUUAAUCCCAGUCACCAGAGACUGGGUACAAAACAGGAUCUUUCGACUUCAUAAGGGAAAGCUGGCUUUCUUGGCUGCAUUCCCUCCAUCUUUGAAAAGAAUAUGAUUUUCUUACAACUGGGAAGAGCGGGAAUCCUACGAGGAUCAGUAAACAUCCAGUGGACAGGGCUGUGCCUAUCUUGUUCACCGCUAUAGCUCCAGGGCUGAGGAUAUGCCUGGCACCAGAGAGCCUCAGAAAAUAUUUGUUGAAUGAAUGGAUGAAGAAAUGGGUAAACAAAAUGUUUUCUCCUUGAAUUAUCCAAAGAAGCUACUGGAUAAUCUUUCAGUCCUAUACUCUGCUUGGACACUGAAGAUUUAAAAAAAAUCUUUUCAAAAAGUCAGAAAUCAAUUUGGAGCCCUUUUCAAGAAUAACUCUUUUAGGAACCCAUGUAUGAUGGGAAUAUAAAAGGAUGUCUUGCUUCCUAUCCUCUGGUAUCUUCUUCAGGACAAUGUCAUAUGUUGCCAAAAGCAAGAAGGCAAGUAUCUCUCAAAUGCAGUGCAGACAAAUUGCCUACUGCUAGUUAAUGAAAAGGAAACAAAAUUGAUCUUACUUGGUACUUUUAUAUAAAUAAAAAUAUUUUUAAACCCUCAGACCAGAAAACUUCCCUAGAGUAAUAUUGAA